rnacentral:rRNA from 1 species
GAUGAACGCUGGCGGCGUGCCUAAUACAUGCAAGUCGAGCGAAUGGAUUAAGAGCUUGCUCUUAUGAAGUUAGCGGCGGACGGGUGAGUAACACGUGGGUAACCUGCCCAUAAGACUGGGAUAACUCCGGGAAACCGGGGCUAAUACCGGAUAAUCCCUAAGGGGGAAAGCGGGGACCGUAAGGCCUCGCGCAAUUAGAGCGGCCGAUACCUGAUUAGCUAGUUGGUGAGGUAAAGGCUCACCAAGGCAACGAUCAGUAGCUGGUCUGAGAGGACGAUCAGCCACACGGGGACUGAGACACGGCCCAGACUCCUACGGGAGGCAGCAGUGGGGAAUUUUGGACAAUGGGGGCAACCCUGAUCCAGCAAUGCCGCGUGAGUGAAGAAGGCCUUCGGGUUGUAAAGCUCUUUUGUCAGGGAAGAAACAGCAGCUCUAACACAGUAUGCGAAUGACGGUACCUGAAGAAUAAGCACCGGCUAACUACGUGCCAGCAGCCGCCGUAA